AGAACGAACGUUAGCGGCGCGCCUAAGACAUGCAAGUCGAGCGAGAAAGGGCUUCGGCCCCAGUACAGCGGCGCACGGGUGAGUAACACGUAGGUCAUCAACCCUCGAGUGGUGGACAACCCUCCGAAAGGAGAGCUAAUACAGCAUAACGCCAGCAAUGGCCAAAGCGGGCCUCUCCAUGGAAGCUCGCGCUUGAGGAUGAGCCUGCGGCCCAUCAGCUAGUUGGUUGGGGUAACAGCCCACCAAGGCUAAGACGGGUAGCUGGUCUGAGAGGAUGAACAGCCACACUGGAACUGAGACACGGUCCAGACUCCUACGGGAGGCAGCAGUCGGGAAUCUCGCAAUGGGCAAAGCCUGACGGAGCGACGCCGCGUGAGCGAUGAAGGCCUUGGUUGUAAGCUCUGUGGGAGGAAGAAGUAAGGUAGGCAAUAACCUAUCUGAUGACGGUACCUCCGUUAGCAAGCACCGGCUAACUC
rnacentral:rRNA from 1 species